UCGAUAAACAUUUUUAGUAAAAGUAUGAAUUUCAGCACCCUUCGGAAGGACUUCUUGUUGUACAGGACUAAAAUAGGUACAGGUAAGCGUUUUCAGAAUUUCAAGUAUCGACUGGUGGCAACUCAAUGUUGUUGCUAGCAAAUCGUGUGACCACUUAUCAAUACUCAACUCAACCUCGAUAUAGGAGAUCGGAGUUGAGCAAUCCUCAGGAACAAUCUGUCCAAACAGCAAAUAUAAUCCUAAUGGGUUCUCCGUCUCAGUGUUCUGUUCUAAUGGAACCAUGCAUUCAGAUAUCCCACUGCUGACACCAAACGUAUUAAACAAGAAAAUAAAUACAAAAUUAAAGCACAUUUAUGCCAAUGGGUUUUCUUGGAUGCCAACCAAAGGCAGGAAAUAAAAGCUUAUUAGCAGUAAUUUGGCACAAAUAUGUAGUUGCUUUGUUUGAGGCAUGGCCGCCAUCUCCAGAGGUGGUUCCACUAAUGUCCAUGGAAGUGUUCUGAAAGCAGACUUCAGACAGAGGGGUACCUUGGGGAAUUUCUCAUGUCUUUGGGGAGUUUUUAAUGUGUGGACGGACAGUCAUUAGCAAGCUAGUUCAGGUAAAUUACAUCAAUUAAAUGUUCUUGUUCUUUGUAGGGUGAUCAAGGUCUACCAGGCUUGGCAGGACUUCCAGGACAGAAAGGCGAUCAAGGAGACAAGGGAGAGACCAGGAAAGAUGGGUUCCCUGGAAACUCAAGCCAGAAGGGUGACCAGGGUGUUUCUGGCUCACCAGGUCUGGAUGGUAUUCCUGGACAGAAGGGGGAGGCAGGAUCAAACGGGUCUAAGGGGAUCGAUGGAGCAACGGGUGAGAAGGGACCAGCUGGGGAGCCUGGUGCGGAGGGGAAACCUGGGAUAAAUGGUUUGAAAGGAGACUCAGGUCCUAUUGGCCCCAAAGGUGAUCAAGUAAGUCAUAAUCCUCAUCUAUGGUUUGGUUUUAAACAUUAGUAAAUAGCAUGAGCUGACGCACACCCCAAACUGUUUUAUAGAGGGGCUGACUAACAGACAGUAAACUGUAGGCUAGGAGCUGACUAACAGACAGUAAACUGUAGGCUAGGUGCUGACUAACAGAGAGUCAACUGUAGGCUAGGUGCUGACUAACAGAGAGUCAACUGUAGGCUAGGUGCUGACUAACAGAGAGUCAACUGUAGGCUAGGUGCUGACUAACAGAGUCAACUGUAGGCUAGGUGCUGACUAACAGAGAGUCAACUGUAGGCUAGGUGCUGACUAACAGAGAGUAAACUGUAGGCUAGGUGCUGACUAACAGAGAGUCAACUGUAGGCUAGGUGCUGACUAACAGAGAGUCAACUGUAGGCUAGGUGCUGACUAACAGAGAGUCAACUGUAGGCUAGGUGCUGACUAACAGAGAGUCAACUGUAGGCUAGGUGCUGACUAACAGACAGUAAAUUGUAGGCUAGGUGCUGACUAACAGAGUCAACUGUAGGCUAGGUGCUGACUAACAGAGAGUCAACUGUAGGCUAGGUGCUGACUAACAGACAUUAAACUGUAGGCUAGGUUCUGACUAACAGAGAGUCAACUGUAGGCUAGGUGCUGACUAACAGAGAGUCAACUGUAGGCUAGGUGCUGACUAACAGACAUUAAACUGUAGGCUAGGUUCUGACUAACAGACAGUAAACUGUAGGCUAGGUGCUGACUAACAGAGAGUCAACUGUAGGCUAGGUGCUGACUAACAGAGAGUCAACUGUAGGCUAGGUGCUGACUAACAGAGAGUCAACUGUAGGCUAGGUGCUGACUAACAGACAUUAAACUGUAGGCUAGGUUCUGACUAACAGAGAGUAACUGUAGGCUAGGUGCUGACUAACAGAGAGUCAACUGUAGAGAAAGGUAGAAAGUUGUGUACUCCCUACAUGUUCCCAACUAUUUGAUAGGAAAACAUAACCAAUAUUUCAACAACGCAUUUUCAGGGUGGCUUUGUAUAUUAACAUUGUACAAUCAUGUACACUCAUAGAUAGAUACAAACAUUAGGAAUAAACAGGUCAUGUGACAAAGCACACCACCCAGGUAGCAUUACCGAUCCUCUGACCUCAGAAUCCAAUCUGUUUGACCACUGGUCAUUUCACCAAACAGACUGAACAUCAUUGGGCUGGAACUACUCUCAUCAUUGCACAUUACAAACUUGAUCUGCUGUCCAGCCCAGAUUAUAGCGUUGUACAGAGAGUCCAAUGUAGUAUUUCUGAUCAGUCAGACAUGCCAAUUAUUUGUACCAGACACAUCCUUCUAAAAAACCUCAUGCCUCACUGGUGGUCAGUGUAAACACAUUCUACUACCAUAUUAUUAGACCUCUGAAUGGGUACAUGACAAGUUCAACCAUUUCCAUUAAGCUGGGGAUUUAAAGCAUUCAUAAAAACAGUGGAGACUUGAUUAUCAGCAGUCUUUAUAGCCUGUUCAUUGAAAGGGAAUUUGAUUUACAGUAGACAACUUCCUCUUAUUGCAAUUCAAAAUACACGUAGAAAAGAAUAAAUCUAAUAGCACAGUGGGAUUUCCUUGCUCUGUAAGAGAUGGAAUGUGUUCCGUUCUCUAAUUAGUUACCGUAUUGUUCAUACUUACACGUACGGUACUCAGGCAUGCACACAUACACACAUUAACUCACACUUUCAUUAUUGGUGAGGGAGCGGCUGUAUGAUGGUAGGGUUAUGUGCACAGUCUUCCAGCCUUGAAGUUUUAAUGAGCUAUCUGUUUGGUUCUCUGAGGAGGGAGGCAGGGAGGGAGGGAGGGAGGGGAGAGGGAGAGAGAGAGGGAGAGAGAGAGGGAGAGAGAGAACCAAAUGAGUCUAUUUUGUAGAGCUAUCGGAGGGAGGGGCAAAUGUGAUUAUUUUGGGUGACAACUGUGAAUACAACCAAAACGGUCAUGAAUAACUAAUCAGUCAUAAAUAAUCUUAACUUUCCAGAUCAUAUAGACCUAAUUGGUUAGUGACAAAGUUUGGCAAAUGUCUAAAAACUUUGUACCAUGGUUGCAAGUCAUUGUAAACAAAAUACUGUAGCUCAGUUGGUAGAGAAUCGGUCUGAAGAUGCCAGGAUAGUGGGGUCGAUUCCUGGGACCGUAGGUAAAAAAAUAUAUGCACGCCUGACUAUAAGAUUCUUUGGAUAAAACGUGUCUGGUAAAUGGCAUGUAAGACAAGCAGUGAAGGAAGUCCUUCACUUUAUUAAAGCAGGACAUAACACUUCUUUAUUGACUUCAGUUAUCCACUACACUUACAGUUAUCCACUACACUUACAGUCAUUAUAUUCAUUAUAAAGGACAUGUAUUCAUUAUAAAGGACACAUGUAUUCAUUAUAAAGGACACGUAUUCAUUAUAAAGGACAUGUAUUCAUUAUAAAGGACACAUGUAUUCAUUAUAAAGGACAUGUAUUCAUUAUAAAGGACAUGUAUUCAUUAUAAAGGACAUGUAUUCAUUAUAAAGGACAUGUAUUCAUUAUAAAGGACAUGUAUUCAUUAUAAAGGACAUGUAUUCAUUAUAAAGGACACAUGUAUUCAUUAUAAAGGACACAUGUAUUCAUUAUAAAGGACAUGUAUUCAUUAGAAAGGACAUGUAUUC
rnacentral:lncRNA from 1 species